UACGUAGGGUGCGAGCGUUAAUCGGAAUUACUGGGCGUAAAGCGUGCGCAGGCGGUUUUGUAAGCCGGAUGUGAAAUCCCCGGGCUUAACCUGGGAAUGGCAUUCGGGACUGCAAGGCUGGAGUGCGGGCAGAGGAGACUGGAAUUCCUGGUGUAGCAGUGAAAUGCGUAGAUAUCAGGAGGAACACCGAUGGCGAAGGCAGGUCUCUGGGCUGACACUGACGCUCAUGCACGAAAGCGU
rnacentral:rRNA from 1 species